CCCCUACGAUGACGAACCCCAAUUUGCAGUCCUUCCUUCUGCACUCUUCACGCCGCCUCCUCUUUUCCCAUCACCUUCUCUCUUCCCCUCGAACCCACCACCACCGACCACCUCCACUCGGCUCCAUUCAGCGCUGCCACCACCUCCUCUUUUCCCAUCACCACCGCACCAGCUCCUCUCUUCCCCCUCAAACCCACCACCACCGACCACCUCUUCACCGUCAGAAUUGUGCCGCCACCUUCAACACAACCUAAAUUGAGCACCACCGCCAUCGCUCCCUUUCUUUCCAGAUCGUACCGCCGCCGCCGCCCUUCCGUCCUUUUUCCCCGAUUUUUCGCUUCCUCUAUAUCAAUGUCACCGAUUUCCCCCGUUUCCAGCGGUUACCGACGUCACUCAGCGCAAAAGACUUACUUUCCACGACCCUCGGUGUGCUCCCACGGAUUCUCCGGUGAUGGCCAUCACAUCUCCCUGUCUACUAUUACGUGGAUAUGUGUAUUCUGGAGCUCUACUUUUGUAAAUCAAGGUUCUGCUGGAGCAACUAAUAAAACUAUGCAGAAGGGGCAAUGGUAAUUGUGCAGGAAGGUCAUUGGCUGGUUAAUUUGGUUUCUGAGUAUCUCUUUUUGGAGAAAAGUUAGGCUAAGGAUGAAAGCACAUUAAAGUCAUGCGCCUCCAACGGCUGAGUGAUUUCCCGCUUUCAUUUUGGUUGGCUCUAUUUGUAGAAGGAACACGCUUUACACAGGCCAAACUCUUAGUUGCACAGGAAUAUACAACCUCCACUGGAUUGCCUGUUCCGAGAAAUGUUUUGAUUCCUACAACUAAGAAUUGCUGGACGUCAAUGGCACCUAAAUAACCUGAAAACAAUAAGGACCCUUCGAUGGUGUGGGUUGAUGCGGUGAUAGUUGAUUUGGUGGUUGUGGCUCGGUGGUGAUGGGAAGAGAGGAAGUGGUGGCGGCGCUGAAUGGAAGAGUGGAGGAGGUGGCGGCGCGAUUAGGGAGAAUGAGGUGGUGGCCGCGCGACUUAGAGUUUUGGGAGAAGAAGGAGAGAGAGAGAGAGCUGAGUGUUUCUGUACCGGUUGUUAGGGUUCUCUGUUGGUGUAUGUUUUAUAAUUAUAUGGGUUCUGAAAACCCUAAAACUUUGGCAGCAAAAUUAAUUGCUUUAUGUAAUUUGCUCUACUAUUUCUCGCGAAUUAUUUGCUUUAUUGUUUUUCUGAAUUUUUCUAUUUUUUCAAAGCUUGAUACAAUUUACUUAUUGAAGUUGGGACUAUAUAAUGUGGGGUGUGUGUGUUGUUGGUAUAGGUCA